AACGAACGCUGGCGGCAGGCCUAACACAUGCAAGUCGAGCGAUCCCUUGUGGAUAGCGGCGCACGGGUGAGUAACACGUGGGAAUCUGCCUUGUAGUACGGAAUAGCCCUUGGAAACGAGGAUUAAUGCCGUAUAUUCCCUUCGGGGGAAAGAUUUAUCGCUACAAGAUGAGCCCGCGCUGGAUUAGCUAGUUGGUGAGGUAAUGGCUCACCAAGGCGACGAUCUAUAGCUGGUCUGAGAGGACGAUCAGCCACACUGGGACUGAGACACGGCCCAGACUCCUACGGGAGGCAGCAGUGAGGAAUAUUGGACAAUGGAGGAAACUCUGAUCCAGCCAUGCCGCGUGAGUGAAGAAGGCCUUAGGGUUGUAAAGCUCUUUCAGUAGUGAAGAUGAUGACGGUAACUACAGAAGAAGCCCCGGCUAACUUCG
rnacentral:rRNA from 1 species